UUCAAAGAAUGUUUCAGUACAAUACAAUUUUAUUUUGCACAGAGAGUUCAAGGGAAAAAAGCUUUAUUUUAUAGACUUAAAUAAUAUCUUUAUGGAGCUACAGUAAAAUAAAUAAUACAGAUAUGGUGUUAAAAUAAAUAAUACAGUUAGGAGGCUUAAAUAAAUAAUGGUGGAGAGAGAAGAGAAAUUAAGAGUCCUCGGAGAAGGCAGGGGGAGAUGCGAUUUUGAAUUAUAAGUGGUAGAGAACUGAAGUUUAAAAAGUUCUAAAGUAUUCAAGAGGUUUCUACAUUGACCAAAAAGAUGGUAUUGGACAGGUCACAAUUAGAGGAUUAAUCUGACAGUGCUUUUAUUUUUUAGUGGUAGACGUUUCCUAUUGUUUCAAUGACUCUGAAUUCAAUAUCAAAACUUUUGGCUGAAUAGCUAAAAAUAAUUAAAUUCACCAUUUUAUGACAUUUACACAAAACAAUGUCUCCCCUUCUUCCCCAAUCCUUGUCCCUUAAUCUGUCUCCCUGUUCCUUUCUCUAAUUACGGAGAAAACUACCUCAUUGUCUGCAAACUUCAGAGGUUCUCCAUUUAAAAAGCCCGUCCCAUCUUGUACCCCCUCCACCCUCCUACCCGAGGGGCACUUUAUCCACCUUCCUCAUCAGUGGCCAUGGUCCUGUCCACAUUUUGUGGUUCUGAUGUUUCCUUAGGGUCUGGAUUCUUAUCUUUUUAUACAGACCGGGUUGAAACAUUGCAAACAGAACAAUGGAACCUCUUCUUCAGCUGUAAACUUGAGCUGGGAGACUUUUGGCCUGAGAUUCUAAAGAAGGAGAAUGAGGCGGAUGCUCUCAGGAAGGAGCAGGCUGUCUCACUGGGUGGGUCUUACUCAGUAACUAGACGAUGA
rnacentral:lncRNA from 1 species